CAAAAGUUUUCGUAUGCGCUAGUGGUGCUUGGUGGGUUUCAGUAGACAAGUCUAAAUUGUCAUAAAACUAAAAAAAAACAUUUUUGACUUUUUGAAAAUUUACACACAUACUUUCUUCAAUGAAAUUCCGUAAGUUAUAUUCGCUGUCAAGUGCUUUUAUUAAAAAUAUUUGUUUGACCAACACAAAAGAUUCAACGCCAUCAUCGAUUUAAAUUUUGUAAGACUAUAAAUUCAUUUGGAUUUUUAUUUAAUUUCAGAUAAAAAAGUUAACUUCAACAAAUGCAUCAGAUUAAAAACUUCUAAGAUUAAAACGAGUUCCCAGCUUCUCGUGUGCCAGCGCGCUCUAUUUCUUCAAUUUUAUAAACUGCGACGCGAAUUCGUACACACCAAUCGACUGCC